CAUCACUUCCCAAUACUCCAACCUUUAACAUCUGCAACAGAUACCUUAUUUUCCACUUCAAAUUCAUCACUUCCCCACACUCCAACCUCUAGCAUCUGCAACAAUGGCUUCCCCUCAUGAAUCUUCAACUCUCGACCUCAUCCGUCAACACCUUCUCAUCGACGACUUAUCUUUCCUUCAGAAAUACUCUCUUUCCCACAAAUCACACAUCGUUUCUCCCACUCAUUCGUCUUCUUCCCAAUCCUCUUCUCUUGAUAGCCUUCUUGUUAACAAGUCUGUUUCCAG
rnacentral:lncRNA from 1 species